GCAGUAUGUCCGGAUUUUCCCAGACAUUUUUCCUAUUUCCUACACUGCUGCCAACUGCAGUAUUCCAGAUAUGUCUGAGAAAUCCUGGACAUGUGGCAACCGUACUCACGCCUCCUUCCCAAAGCCCAGCACUUCACUUAGCCAGCUUUGGGUAGGCAGCACAAGGGCUAGAUGGUGGCAUCAGAUUUUGCUUCUAUUUGAUUCCAUUCCAUAUAUUUUAUUUUAUUGUGGAACAGUUUGCAAAGAGACAGGCACCAUGCUUCAUAAAGAGCAGGUAUUUUUUAAAAAUCCAGGAAAACCAACCAAGCUGUAAUAUAAAGGAUUAAAACAACAACAACCAUUGAAUGCUAAAUUGUACCUGAAUGUUUAUCUGGUCUAUUAAGUGAUUCCCAUCAGAAUUACUGGUGUCAAAGCUUUGCCCAUGAAAAUGGCCGUCAUAUAACUGAUAAACAGUUCAAUUGAAAGAAUAACAGCACCAUGCACUAUAGCUGUAAUUCUCCUUUAAAAUCAAUCGAAAUAAGAGUGUUCUUCUAUAUGGAGGACACGAUGAUCUAGCAGAGGGGGAAAUCCCAUCUCGGUUGCUUAAGGUUUCUUAUUAAAUCUGGAAAAAAAUAACUGCAUUAUUUUAAUUCAGCUCUGCCCAUUUUCCAGAAGUGCUGCACUUAUUGCAUUAAUCUUCAGAGCGAAGUUUUUACGACCGAUUGCCUGCAGACUAUGAGAAGUUUCUCCAUCCAUUAACCACAGAGAAACGGGCCCUGCAGGGUAGGAAAAUAUUUGUUACAUCUUAUCAGGGUGACACAUAAUCUAACAACAAUUACAGCAGGCCCAUAUUUUGUACUAUUUCAGUUUCGGUGUGAAAAAUAGUUCUAAUAUUAAACCCGGGGUGGGUGGGAGCUGCAGGAACCAGUUGAAUAUUAUAAGCUCAGCAGUGGUGAUUUCCCUUCAGGUUGUGGGUCUCGUCAUUACUGGGAUACGGCCCUAAGGAAGUGACUACACAUAAAUCCAGUGUACGUGCCCCCUAUGCAAAUGGCACAGUGUGCACUGGCAAAGCAGCUUGAAGGAUGAUUGCAUCCAUAUCAAUAUGAAGUGCUGAAAUUGCAUUCUCCCCAUGCUUGAUGUUUUUGUUAAUGUAAAAGCUUUUCGAGGCACUUCAGGUCACUCUCAUUCUUCCAAAGGUUAAAAAUGCAGAAGAAGUGUUUCAGCCUUACCGAGAGAGAGAGAGAGAGAGAGAGAGAGAGAGAGAGAGAGAGAAGCUACAACAAAAGUGCAGGUUACCAUAAAAGAUGGAAAGUGCUGGUGCUUGGAAGAUACUUAUGGAAAGCUAUCCAAGAAACAGCAACAACUAGAGGAUUCUGACACCGUAUUUCCCUGCUUUUCUUUUGAGAAAGUACUGUAUUAUAGGGCAGUGACCGGAAGAUGAAAAGGUCCUGCAAACAUGUCCAUUUAGUAAUCUGAGGCUGCAGGAAUGUGAUCUUCCUAUCACUGAUAUUGCAUGUAAAUCUCUCUACAAGAUCUCAGUACUUCAAGAGUGGAAUGAAGGCAGCAGAAAAUUCUAAAUACAUUAAGGUAAUCCUGGAUACACCAGCCAACAAAAAAACAGGCUGAUGUGUCAGAUGACACAAUACAACCUCUUAGUUCAGCACUAAUCUAUAAAAGAAUAUAUAUGGCAACAUGGAAAAUGACAAUGUCACUCUUGGUCUGUUCCAGAAAAGGAACAGUAUUAGUCUGUUGUGGCAAAAAAUCGGAAUUCUGUGGCACUUUAAAAAUUAACCAUUUUAUUGUAGUUUACGAUUUAUAGACUAUUUCACUGGAUCCGUAACAGAGACAGUAGCACUGUAGAAGAAAUGUCAAGUACAUGAGCCAAGCAAAGUUAAACUGCAAUCUUAUGCAUGUUUAUAUGGGAGUAAGUCCCAUGUCCGACUAUAAACACAAACACAUAUAAACAUGCAGAGAUUGUGCUCUAAGCUCCAUGUAUUUCUAUGGGAGCCAACUAAGAAUGUGCUUAACUCUGCCAUUUAAAUCAAUAGGAUCCUAACAUGCAUAAUGCUGGCUGGAUUCUGGUUCAAUUUAACAGAGCGAGGAAAAUAUAAUGGCAAUAUUUGAGGCAGACCCCAACAAUAAGAAUAACACUGCACAACCUGCAUUUGUCAUAAUGUCACUGCGAGGAUGAAGUACUCUUGACUAUGGAUCUGUGCACCCAUCAUUGCACUCAUUUCCAUGGGAAUGACGUGACAAAGGGUUACCUUACAAGUUGGCCCAUAACUUCUGAACCAACAUUUAUGGAAGGGGUGAAACAAGAAGGAAUUAAGACAGAGCUUUCCAAACUGUGUGUCACGACAUGUUAGUGUGUUGGUGUGUUGCACGAACACUCCCCGCACUCCUCUUGGGCCUGGAAAGGGGUUAGUUUAACCUUGAGUUUGCUAGUAAAACUGCAUCGCGAAAUGGUGCAUGUCUAAAAAGUGUGUCACCAACGUGAAAAGUCUGGAAAGCUCUGGAUUAAGAAAAUGGAGACUCUGGGGAUAGAAGGCACCUUUCCUGGAGGACACUCCUUGCCCCCAUAAAACAGGAAAAUGGAGAAAGGGGUAGCUGUAAGGAUUAGAUUAUGCUCAUAGUCCAAUGGUACACAUUGAGUUUCUGUGAUUUCACAAUGAGAUGAAAGCAUAAGCUUUAAGCUCACUGAGUAUGGCUCUGAUCACAAAAGAAGAAAAAUGAAGUUUCUAAAGUUGAUGUUUCUGUGGGAUGGAUGGAAGGAAGGAAGGAAGGAGAAAGUCACUCCUCCCCCACUGUGAGAGCAUCCUCACUUUGAGGUGGCUCAAACGUAACAGGAAGUUUCAACCCAAAGGUCCGCACACCAUCCACAAACCCCAUAUUGAUGGCACUGUCGCUCCCGGCAGCCGCCAUCACCCCCGGCUCCACUUUUUGAUUAAUGCUCUUCCAAACUUUCCCUGGCUCCCUGCGCUCCCACUUUCUGUCACACUUCUCAUUAUGAAUGUAUCUUUGCAUCGAGGAAAGCGGGAGGAAAAAUUGUUCUUUCAGGGUGACAGCUGAGCGAGGGCUAUAUUAUUAAAGGUACCAAUCAUAGGUGCCCAGCUAUCAUCUCACGAUGAAUGCACUUGUCAGGAGAGCGAGGCGGCCGGUGGAGGGGGGUGGGAGAGGAAGGAGGGAGCUGGUGGGACAGCACCACUCGCUUUCUCUCUCUCCUCUCCCCCACAACACCCACCACCACCACCACCCCCGCUUCUCUUUCUCCUUUAAUGUUGGCCACCUCUGCUUGCCUGAACUUGGACCUUCAGCGGCGACAAUUUCUCUGGCCUCGACAGCACGAUUAAUUUCUCCUGCCCUCCGCAGGGCCUGUGAGUGCUGUGGAAGUCCAGCUGGCCUGCUGCUGAUAAGAUGUACCUUUUGAUUUGUUUUGUCUUUGAUUGCCUUUUCUGUCACCUACAAUGGCUGGCCGCCUAGAGACCUUCACAUCGCCUGACUGACGGAUCUAUUUAUCUAUAGGCCUCUCCCUGCUUCUCCCGGCUGGUCUCCCCCACCACACGUCCCCCUUUCCAAACCUCCACGUCCCUUCUUCCCUUCUCUCUCUCUCUCUCUGUCUCUCCCCCCCCCAACCUUUCUUUCAAACCACCACCUUGUACCACUGAAGUCCCAGCCUAAUAGAAGCUGUGAAGGCUCAUCCACCAUAAAAUACAUCUGCCAUCCUCCUUCUCUCCAAGAUAAAAGCCUGUCAGUGUUACUUUCCAAUUCCAGGCAGCUUGAUUAAUGGUGAAAAGCCACGGCAAGAUCGACUUCUGGUUUUUACAAGCGCUGUCAGCCGGCCCAGGGUUAUGCGAAACACACACUCAUACAAAACAAAACAAAA